rnacentral:tRNA from 1 species
GGUCCGUUGGUCUAGUGGUAUGAUAUUCGCUUCGGGUGCGAGAGUUCCCGGGUUCAAUUCCCGGACGGACCC